GACAUAGGUGACGAACGUUAUCCGGAAUUAUUGGGCGUAAAUGGUGCGUAGGCGGCGCGUUAAGUCGGAUGUGAAAUCUCGGAGCUUAACUUCGAAACUGCAUUCGAUACUGCCGUGCUUGAGGACUGGAGAGGAGACUGGAAUUUACGGUGUAGCGGUGAAAUGCGUAGAUAUCGUAAGGAAGACCAGUGGCGAAGGCGGGUCUCUGGACAGUUCCUGACGCUGAGGCACGAAGGCCAGGGGAGCAAACGGG
rnacentral:rRNA from 1 species